GUACAAAUUGCAUCCUCUGUACUGGUGAAGUAGUGAAUUUUGCUCUAGUGGGUAUGGAAAUAUACUACCUCUUCAGCUUAGAGAAGAACACUGAGCAACCAAGCUUCCAUUAUGUCACACCUUUUGGCCAUUGUGGAGUAUACCAUUAUCACUCUGUCCUUUGUCGAAGAGAAAUCGGUUUGACACAUAUACCUUGAGUGUCAGUAAUAAAUGGCUUUGGCAUGCACGUUUAGAGGCCUUGACCUAUUGUUUCAUUUGGCCUAAUAGUUUAAAAAGCUCCAUCCUCCCAGCUUUGUGUAUGACCAGAGAUUGCAGCAUCUAUGCUUUACUUCAAAGGGGUCUUAAACAUUUUACACUCUCUUAAGGAAGGUAACUGGGGUGGCCUUUUUUUUGGGCUCCACUUAAUUCUUUCUCACUCUAAUCUUUUUAAUAUUUGCUUAAGUUCCCCGACGAUUAUAGUCCAUUGCCAUACCCUAUUAGGUGCUUGCUGGCUUUAAUUUUGUAGUUUAUGAAUAUAAUUUGUAAUUAGAGUAGUUGUGCGUUAUGAAUUGGUUAGUUAUAUUAUAUGUUAGAUUUUGUAAAAAUCUUGCUAUACCUUAUUAGAAAGUGUUUUGAAUGUUGGUUUUUUUAUUGGAUAUGUAAUUAAAAUUUCUUAAUCACAGUUACAUCAUAAUGCUGUAAAAAUUUCUAAAGCAUCUUAUAUAGUAGAAUUAGUUGAAGGAUAAAUUUUGGUGAAGUUUCUUGAUUUAGUGUUGUAAUUUUGGGCCCUUCCUAUAAAUAGGAAGGUAAUACACAAGAAAAGUAAAAAUGAGUAACAGAAUUUAUUCGAGAUUAACUUGCUUUUUCCCGUAAAAGUGAUGAUGGAAUUUUAGUGUUUGCUUGGGUUGGGGCACACUCAAAUUUCUAAUCUUGUAUUACAUCCGUAACUUUGCUUUGAAAAUAGAAGAAUAAUGAACAUUCAUCAAAAGCUUGUACUUGACUUUUUUGUUGUUGUCAUCUUGCAAUGCAGCCCCAGUUCCUUUUGUGACGGGAAUUUAUUAACUUUUUGAAGAGACUAAUUUUUAGUUUUGGAUAUUGUGUAAUUUUUCCUUAUCUGAGUCUACUCUUACUUUAUUUUCGGAAAAUUUCUCAUUUUAGUUGCUUUCUGAUGGAGAUAGCAAAUGGGUUGUGUUUGUUUGUUUACUUUGAGGAACAAUAUAAAAUUGGCUGCUGGAGGGCCUAAUUCUGGGCAGCCACAAUUCCUUAGGGCUAGGGAUGAGAUUUUUCGCAUGCUCCGUUGAUCAAGAACCCAGAAACCGAUCAGAUUAUUGUUUUUGAUGUGAGCCUUUUAGUUUUUUAAUUAAUGUUUUGAUGAUUAAUCCUUGUCAAUUUUCAAAUGAUAGGAUAAUUAGUCAUUAAAUUCCACUUUUAAUGAGAUUAUAUAUUUGGAAAACUUAUACAAAUGUAACCAUACAUUAAACUA